AUUGAACGCUGGCGGCAGGCCUAACACAUGCAAGUCGAGCGGUUGACGGGAGCUUGCUCCCUGAUUCAGCGGCGGACGGGUGAGUAAUGCCUAGGAAUCUGCCUAUUAGUGGGGGACAACGUUUCGAAAGGAACGCUAAUACCGCAUACGUCCUACGGGAGAAAGCAGGGGACCUUCGGGCCUUGCGCUAAUAGAUGAGCCUAGGUCGGAUUAGCUUGUUGGUGAGGUAAUGGCUCACCAAGGCGACGAUCCGUAACUGGUCUGAGAGGAUGAUCAGUCAAACUGGAACUGAGACACGGUCCAGACUCCUACGGGAGGCAGCAGUGGGGAAUAUUGGACAAUGGGCGAAAGCCUGAUCCAGCCAUGCCGCGUGUGUGAAGAAGGUCUUCGGAUUGUAAAGCACUUUAAGUUGGGAGGAAGGGUUGUAGAUUAAUAGCGCGGCAUUUUGACGUUACCUACAGAAGAAGCACCGGCUAACUCUGUGCCAGCAGCCGCCGUAAAAC
rnacentral:rRNA from 1 species